rnacentral:rRNA from 1 species
GAAGGCCUUCGGGCUGUAAAGCACUUUAAGCAGGGAGAAAAAGCAAUAGGUUAAUACCUUAUUGCCGUGAUGUUACCUGCAGAAUAAGCACCGGCUAAUUCCGUGCCAGCAGCCGCGGUAAUACGGAAGGUGCAAGCGUUAAUCGGAAUUACUGGGCGUAAAGCGCGCGUAGGUGGUUUGUUAAGUUGGAUGUGAAAGCCCUGGGCUCAACCUAGGAACUGCAUCCAAAACUAACUCACUAGAGUACGAUAGAGGGAGGUAGAAUUCAUAGUGUAGCGGUGGAAUGCGUAGAUAUUAUGAAGAAUACCAGUGGCGAAGGCGGCCUCCUGGAUCUGUACUGACACUAAGGUGCGAAAGCGUGGGUAGCGAACAGGAUUAGAUACCCUGGUAGUCCACGCCGUAAACGAUGACUACUAGCUGUUGGGAGGCAAUGUCUCUCAGUGGCGCAGCUAACGUUU